ACCCGCUGAACUUAAGCAUAUCAAUAAGCGGAGGAAAAGAAACCAACAGGGAUUGCCUCAGUAACGGCGAGUGAAGCGGCAAGAGCUCAAAUUUGAAAGCUGGCUCCUUCGGGGUCCGCAUUGUAAUUUGCAGAGGAUGCUUCGGGAGCGGCCCCCAUCUAAGUGCCCUGGAACGGGCCGUCAUAGAGGGUGAAAAUCCCGUCUGGGAUGGGGUGUCCGCGCCCGUGUGAAGCUCCUUCGACGAGUCGAGUUGUUUGGGAAUGCAGCUCUAAAUGGGUGGUAAAUUUCAUCUAAAGCUAAAUAUUGGCCGGAGACCGAUAGCGCACAAGUAGAGUGAUCGAAAGAUGAAAAGCACUUUGAAAAGAGAGUUAAACAGCACGUGAAAUUGUUGAAAGGGAAGCGCUUGCGACCAGACUCGCCCACGGGGUUCAGCCGGCAUUCGUGCCGGUGUACUUCCCCGCGGGCGGGCCAGCGUCGGUUUGGGCGGCCGGUCAAAGGCCCUCGGAAUGUAACGCCCCCCGGGGCGUCUUAUAGCCGAGGGUGCCAUGCGGCCAGCCCAGACCGAGGAACGCGCUUCGGCUCGGACGCUGGCAUAAUGGUCGUAAGCGACCCGUCU
rnacentral:rRNA from 1 species